AACGCGAAGAACCUUACCAGGUCUUGACAUCCCUCUGAUCGGUACAGAGAUGUAUCUUUCCUUCGGGACAGAGGAGACAGGUGGUGCAUGGUUGUCGUCAGCUCGUGUCGUGAGAUGUUGGGUUAAGUCCCGCAACGAGCGCAACCCUUAUAUUUAGUUGCCAGCACUUCGGGUGGGCACUCUAGAUAGACUGCCGGUGACAAACCGGAGGAAGGUGGGGAUGACGUCAAAUCAUCAUGCCCCUUAUGACCUGGGCUACACACGUACUACAAUGGCCGGUACAACGGGCUGCGAAAUCGCGAGAUGGAGCCAAUCCCAACAAAGCCGGUCUCAGUUCGGAUUGCAGGCUGCAACUCGCCUGCAUGAAGUCGGAAUUGCUAGUAAUCGCGGAUCAGCAUGCCGCGGUGAAUACGUUCCCGGGCCUUGUA
rnacentral:rRNA from 1 species